rnacentral:rRNA from 1 species
GACGAACGCUGGCGGCGUGCUUAACACAUGCAAGUCGAACGGAAAGGCCCUGCUUUUGUGGGGUGCUCGAGUGGCGAACGGGUGAGUAACACGUGAGUAACCUGCCCUUGACUUUGGGAUAACUUCAGGAAACUGGGGCUAAUACCGGAUAGGAGCUCCUGCUGCAUGGUGGGGGUUGGAAAGUUUCGGCGGUUGGGGAUGGACUCGCGGCUUAUCAGCUUGUUGGUGGGGUAGUGGCUUACCAAGGCUUUGACGGGUAGCCGGCCUGAGAGGGUGACCGGCCAAAUUGGGACUGAGAUGCGGCCCAGACUCCUACGGGAGGCAGCAGUGGGGAAUAUUGCACAAUGGGCGGAAGCCAGAUGCAGCAACGCCGCGUGCGGGAUGACGGCCUUCGGGUUGUAAACCGCUUUCGCCUGUGACGAAGCGUGAGUGACGGUAAUGGGUAAAGAAGCACCGGCUAACUACGUG